CAUACUUCUUCGUCUGGAGGUAGCCUUAGGCAUUUCAAUAAAACUUCAUAUUGCUCGGAUUUCAAAUAAACAUCAUACUUGGUAAACACAUAAGUUAUUACUACUGAUGACACUACCGCGAGAACUUUAGCUCUGACAUCUUUUGUUUGACUUUCCAAAACUUUCAAGUUUUCCCAGAGUUUCGGCAUUAAAAUAUCUUCAAAAACCUACCAA